rnacentral:rRNA from 1 species
GUGCCAGCCGCCGCGGUAAUACAGAGGUCUCGAGCGUUGUUCGGAUUUACUGGGCGUAAAGGGAGCGUAGGCGGCCUGGUGUGUCGAAUGUGAAAUCCCGCCACUCAAGGGCGGAACGGCAUUCGAAACUGCCGGGCUGGAGUACCGGAGAGGAAGGCGGAAUUCUUGGUGUAGCGGUGAAAUGCGUAGAUAUCAAGAAGAACACCGACGGCGAAGGCAGCCUUCUGGACGGAUACUGACGCUGAGGCUCUAAAGUCAGGGGAGCAAACAGGAUUAGAUACCCUGGUAGUCCUGACCCUAAACGGUGCGCACUUGGUGUGCGGGGAAUUGUCCCUCCGCGCGCCGAAGCCAACGCGAUAAGUGCGCCGCCUGGGGAGUACGGCCGCAAGGUUAAAACUCAAAGGAAUUGACGGGGACCCGCACAAGCGGUGGAGCAUGUGGCUUAAUUCGAUGCAACGCGAAGAACCUUACCUGGGCUUGACAUGCAGGUGGUAGGACCCCGAAAGGGGGACGACGGUAGCAAUACCGGGCCUGCACAGGUGCUGCAUGGCUGUCGUCAGCUCGUGCUGUGAGGUGUUGGGUUAAGUCCCGCAACGAGCGCAACCCCUGUGGCCAGUUGCCCUUAUUGAGUUAGGCACUCUGGCCAGACUGCCUGUGACAAGCAGGAGGAAGGUGGGGAUGACGUCAAGUCAGUAUGGUCCUUAUGUCCAGGGCUGCACACGUGCUACAAUGGCCGGCACAGAAGGAAGCGAAGCCGCGAGGCGGAGCGGAACCCGAAAACCGGCCCCAGUUCGGAUUGGAGUCUGCAACCCGACUCCAUGAAGCCGGAAUCGCUAGUAACGGCGUAUCAGCUACGACGCCGUGAAUACGUUCCCGGGUCUUGUACACACCGCCCGU